rnacentral:rRNA from 1 species
CCUACGGGAGGCAGCAGUGGGGAAUUUUGGACAAUGGGCGCAAGCCUGAUCCAGCAAUGCCGCGUGAGUGAAGAAGGCCUUCGGGUUGUAAAGCUCUUUUGUCAGGGAAGAAACGGUGGGAGCUAAUAUCUCCUACUAAUGACGGUACCUGAAGAAUAAGCACCGGCUAACUACGUGCCAGCAGCCGCGGUAAUACGUAGGGUGCAAGCGUUAAUCGGAAUUACUGGGCGUAAAGCGUGCGCAGGCGGUUUUGUAAGUCUGUCGUGAAAGCCCCGGGCUCAACCUGGGAAUUGCGAUGGAGACUGCAAGGCUUGAAUCUGGCAGAGGGGGGUAGAAUUCCACGUGUAGCAGUGAAAUGCGUAGAGAUGUGGAGGAACACCGAUGGCGAAGGCAGCCCCCUGGGUCAAGAUUGACGCUCAUGCACGAAAGCGUGGGGAGCAAACAGGAUUAGAUACCCUGGUAGUCCACGCCCUAAACGAUGUCUACUAGUUGUCGGGUUUUAAUUAACUUGGUAACGCAGCUAACGCGUGAAGUAGACCGCCUGGGGAGUACGGUCGCAAGAUUAAAACUCAAAGGAAUUGACGCUGAGACGNGCGAGACGACGACGAGGAGGAGG